rfam:Arthrobotrys oligospora ATCC 24927 unplaced genomic scaffold scaffold00048, whole genome shotgun sequence.
AGAAAAGUAGCCAUAGGUAGGGUAAAAUAUUUGCUAAAUAUUGUGGAAACACAUGGAUGUUCGAAUCAUCUCUUUUCUG